UACGGGGGGUGCGAGCGUCGUCCGGAAUCACUGGGCGUAAAGGGCGCGUAGGUGGUCUUGUAAGUUUGUGGUGAAAGCCCGGGGCUCAACCCCGGGUCUGCCAUGGAUACUGCGAGACUAGAGCGCUGUAGGGGCUGGUAGAAUGUCGGGUGUAGCGGUGGAAUGCGUAGAGAUCCGACGGAAGACCGGUGGCGAAGGCGGCCAGCUGGGCAGCAACUGACACUGAGGCGCGACAGCGUGGGGAGCAAACAGG
rnacentral:rRNA from 1 species